CCGCCCCCCGCGCCCACCACCUUCCUCCCCUCCCCAUCCCGCCUCGUCGCCAUCGGCGACCUCCCCAAGUCCCUCACCGCCCUCCGCCUCGCCGGCCUCUUGCCUACCGCCAACAGCCCCGGCUCCAGCGCCAGCUCCACCUCCUGGUCCGCCGGCCCCACCCUCGCCGUCCAGCUCGGCGACAUCCUGGAUCGAGGCGGCGACGAGCUCCGCCUCCUCUACUUCCUCCGUCGCCUCAGCAUCUCCGCCGCCGCGCAGGGCGGCGCGCUCCUCCCGGUACUCGGCAACCACGAGGUCAUGAACGUGUCCGGCGACUUUCGCUUCGUCAGGCCGCAGGGCCUGCAGGAGUUCUCCGGCUGGGCCGGCUGGUACCGCGCUGGCCUCGCCAUUAAGCGCCGCUGUGGCGGGCUCGAGCAGCCCAAGAACCCCUUCCUCGGCGUCCCCAAGGCCUUCCCCGGCAUCAAGCGGGAGUUUUGGGACGGCAUCCGAUCUCGCCUCGCCGCGCUCCGCCCGGACGGCCCCAUCGCGCGGAGGUUCUUGGCUGAUCUGCCCACCGUCCUUGUAGUCGGCGACUCGGUGUUCGUCCAUGGUGGCCUUCUUGAGGCCAAUGUCGAGUAUGGCCUGGAGCGGAUCAAUGCCGAGGUCAGCGACUGGAUCCGGGGUGAGCAUGGCAACAAUGCCAGGGCGCCAGAGUAUGUGUGCGGCCGAGACGCGGUCGUGUGGCUCAGGAGGUUCUCUGAAGGCUUCAAUUGCGACUGCCAGAGGCUUCAGGGCGUUCUUGGGAUGAUCCCUGGAGCAAAGAGGAUGGUAAUGGGGCACACGAUACAGAGCGAGGGAAUCAAUGCAGUUUGUGGGGCACAGGCCGUCAGGGUGGAUGUUGGUUUGUCGAGGGGGUGUGGUAAUGGGCUGCCGGAGGUGCUCGAGAUCAAUGGUGGAGGAUCAGAUGUGAGGGUGAUCACAACAGAUCCAACAGAGGCCUGGCAGUACCGGAAGCAGAAGUCGGAGAAAUCUGCCACGGCAUUGGAGAAGAAAGGGGAGGUAAAGGAUGGACUUGCAUUGCUGGUAAGGGAGAGCCAUGUAUUGAAAGGUGUAGAAGCUAAGGCUUAG
rnacentral:rRNA from 1 species